rnacentral:rRNA from 1 species
GUGGUAAUGCCGGAUGCUCCAUCACACCGCAUGGUGUGUUGGGAAAGCCUUUGCGGCAUGGGAUGGGGUCGCGUCCUAUCAGCUUGAUGGCGGGGUAACGGCCCACCAUGGCUUCGACGGGUAGCCGGCCUGAGAGGGCGACCGGCCACAUUGGGACUGAGAUACGGCCCAGACUCCUACGGGAGGCAGCAGUGGGGAAUAUUGCACAAUGGGCGCAAGCCUGAUGCAGCGACGCCGCGUGAGGGAUGGAGGCCUUCGGGUUGUAAACCUCUUUUGUUAGGGAGCAAGGCAUUUUGUGUUGAGUGUACCUUUCGAAUAAGCACCGGCUAACUACGUGCCAGCAGCCGCGGUAAUACGUAGGGUGCAAGCGUUAUCCGGAAUUAUUGGGCGUAAAGGGCUCGUAGGCGGUUCGUCGCGUCCGGUGUGAAAGUCCAUCGCUUAACGGUGGAUCCGCGCCGGGUACGGGCGGGCUUGAGUGCGGUAGGGGAGACUGGAAUUCCCGGUGUAACGGUGGAAUGUGUAGAUAUCGGGAAAGAACACCA